GAUGAACGCUGGCGGCGUGCUUAACACAUGCAAGUCGAACGAGAAGUGAAGACGGAAACCUUCGGGCGGAAGGCUUUAUUUCGAGUGGCGGACGGGUGAGUAACGCGUGGGUAACCUGCCUCAUACAGGGGGAUAACAGUUGGAAACGACUGUUAAUACCGCAUAAGACCACAGCACCGCAUGGUGCGGGGGUAAAAACUCCGGUGGUAUGAGAUGGACCCGCGUUCGAUUAGCCAGUUGGCGGGGUAACGGCCCACCAAAGCGACGAUCGAUAGCCGAUCUGAGAGGAUGACCGGCCACAUUGGGACUGAGACACGGCCCAAACUCCUACGGGAGGCAGCAGUGGGGAAUAUUGCACAAUGGGGGAAACCCUGAUGCAGCGACGCCGCGUGAGUGAAGAAGUUUUUCGGUAUGUAAAGCUCUAUCAGCAGGGAAGAAAAUGACGGUACCUGAGUAAGAAGCCCCGGCUAACUACGUG
rnacentral:rRNA from 1 species